GCACGCCUGCCCGGUGAACAAUUAAACGGCCGCGGUACCCUAACCGUGCAAAGGUAGCAUAAUCAUUUGUCUACUAAUUAUAGACCUGUAUGAAAGGCAAAAUGAGGGUCUAACUGUCUCUUAUAGUAGAUCUAUUAAACUGAUCUCCCAGUAAAAAAGCUGGGAUUUUAACAUAAGACCAGAAGACCCUGUGAAGCUUAAACUAAACUAUUAAACCCUAUAAUAGCUAAUUUCGGUUGGGGCGACCUUGGAAAAAAAAAGAACUUCCAAAAACAUAUGGUAUAUCAUAUACAACAGGCCCACAAGCCUCCAUACGACCCAGCAAAGCUGAAAAUCGAAACAAGUUACUCCAGGGAUAACAGCGCAAUCUCCCUCAAGAGCCCAUAUCAAAAGGGGGGUUUACGACCUCGAUGUUGGAUCAGGACAUCCUAAUGGUGCAGCAGCUAUUAAGGGUUCGUUUGUUCAACGAUUAAAGUCCUACGUGAUCUGAGUUAGAACCGGAUCAACGAUUAAAGCCCUACGUGAUCUGAGUUCAGACCGGAGAA
rnacentral:rRNA from 1 species